GGGCGCUUAGCUCAGCUGGCUAGAGUACUAGCAUGACACGCUAGGGGUCACAGGUUCAAGUCCUGUAGCGCCCA
rnacentral:tRNA from 1 species